rnacentral:sRNA from 1 species
CAAAUCUUUGAAAAGAAUAUUUGACUAGCUUAUUUCUAAACCUAAAAUCUUUCUCCCUUUCAUUUCUCUCUCUACUCUCACCUUUUCUCUUGGCCCUCUUUCCUUUCUCCACGCAGCUCUUUCACUUCUUCUCACACACAGAUCCAAGUUCCUUCUUCUUCGUGGAUCCAACUUCUUCUUCUAUCCGGUGCAUUCCUUCCUUCUUUUUCCUGUUGUUGUUGCUGCACUUUUUGUUGAAGGAUAUGUCCAGAAGAAGUCACUAACAACCUCAUAUUUCUCCACACGUCUACUUCAAUGAAUGUAGUUGUCAUAAUCCAAUAUCAUCAUCAACUGCACUUCAGUUCCAGAUCCUCUUAUUUUCUUUAAGAGUCAACAAAUUAUUUUCAAGUGUUAUUUGAGUUUUAGUCAUACCAACAAGUACUACUUCUUUAGUAAAAUUGAAACCCUGAGCAACAUCUGAUAUUUUCGAUCAACUCUUCCAUUUUGAUGGGGAGUGCAAACACAGUUUGAUGAAUAAUGCCUUUAGAAGACAAUAAAUCUUUAAGAAAAAUUUCUGAAAUUUUGAACAUUUGUUUUGACCUUAGUUUUGGAUUUUUAAUAGGACAAUUCCAGUGAAUCUACCGUAAUCGUCAAGAAUGCUUUAAAAAUAUUUGUAAUCAUCAAUAGAAGUAGAGGAAAAAGGGCCUCAAAUGUCCAUAUGGAUUAAAUAAAAAAAAAUUGAUGCUCUACUGGUACUGGAAGAAUAAGGCAAUCUUUUUCGU